AAAGAAGAAGAAAAGAAGAAGAAAAAAAUAAGAGAGAGAGAGGUGAGGCAUCUGCCUCUCACCCCUCAUCCUGUUUCUCCCUGUGCAUGCAUUGGUGUGGGUGAGUGAAUUAGAAAAUAGAGAAGAAAAAAAAAUAAAUGCAAGAAACUCUCAUCCCCUCUCUUUCUUUCUCUCCUUCCCUCUUUUUUUCCCUCCCUUCUCUUCUCUUUCCUUGCCGUUGCUUGGUGGUGGUAGCUGCUGCCAUAGGGGAGUUCUUCAACACAACAAGUAACUCUUAACCCUCUUGUAUUUAACCAAUUUCAAUUACAAGUUAACUAUUGUACGAUGGGAUGGUG
rnacentral:lncRNA from 1 species